GUGGGGAAUUUUGGACAAUGGGCGCAAGCCUGACCCAGCCAUUCCGCGUGCAGGAUGAAGGCCUUCGGGUUGUAAACUGCUUUUGUACGGAACGAAAAGCCUCUGGUUAAUACCCGGGGGUCAUGACGGUACCGUAAGAAUAAGCACCGGCUAACUACGUGCCAGCAGCCGCGGUAAUACGUAGGGUGCGAGCGUUAAUCGGACUUACUGGGCGUAAAGCGUGCGCAGGCGGUGAUGUAAGACAGUUGUGAAAUCCCCGGGCUCAACCUGGGAACUGCAUCUGUGACUGCAUUGCUGGAGUGCGGCAGAGGGGGAUGGAAUUCCGCGUGUAGCAGUGAAAUGCGUAGAUAUGCGGAGGUACACCAGUGGCGAAGGCGGCUUCCUGGCACAAUACUGACGCUCAUGUACGAAAGCUAGGGCAGCGAACGGGAUUAGAAACCCGGGUAGUCC
rnacentral:rRNA from 1 species